GUACAAGAUCGCUGCAGACACACAACGUCACUCGUGAGGCAUAACUAACUAGACCCUUGAAAUACCACUGAAGAGCCCUAGAUGUCAUAGGCACACGCUCACCGUUGGCACACACUGCCUCUUCAGAAGAAGAAUAAAAAGACGGAUAACGUAUAGUCAGAGGCAUUAUCUCAACAGUACUCCUUUCGCUUGAGGCAUUAUCUCAGACUCAGGAGUAGGGGGGUAGUGUUGAGAUGAUUAUUAUGAUGCCUCAGAUCCAUGGAC
rnacentral:lncRNA from 1 species